rnacentral:tRNA from 1 species
GUCCUUUUCGUCUAGUGGUUAGGACGUUGUCUCUUUACGACAAAAAAAUAGGUUCGAUUCCUGUAAAGGAU